GUUGAGCUACAUUAUAUUAAACAGCAAGCCCAUGUUCAAUAUGUUUGUCAUAUAAUGUUGACUUAUCUAAUAAACACACCACUUUAUAUUCAAAACUGGUACCAUGAAGUUUGGCUCAUUUGCCAGGUAAGCUACUAACACAUUCAGAAAAUAAAGUCCAUUCACCUUGGAUCACAUUAUUCUUGAUUUUAUUACUUGGGUUAACAAAGCCUAGUUGCCACAAGGAGCCUCAAAAAGUAUAUUCUGUUAAUUUGUACCCAAAUAAUGUUGUGGACUCAUCCGGUAUAGUGAUGUUAUGUUUGAUGCCUGAGCUCUGAGGUGUGCGUUGAAAUCGUAGUGUGCUGAUGCCCAUAUCACCUUAUCACAAGCAUGUGAUCAAUGACGUCAAAAUCUUUGUUUCGUCAAACAACCACCUGAUUGGUAGAAGACAAAAAGGCUACACUGCACACACACUCUAUGGGGUGUGGGACAUUAUCUAUAAUAAUUUGGCUGCUCUAAAUUCGAUGAUCAGCAGGUGGCACUAGUGUGCACUUGAUCAAAGCCUUGAGUAAUUGUCAACAACAAUCAACACCUCAUCUGUCCUGAAAGACUUGAUCACCUUAUGAAUUGGUCUUAUCAUCUCUAUAAUGAGUAGAAAUAUAAUCUACCAGGGCAGGAAGCAAUCUGUCCGUAGUGAUUUUAUAGUCCUACUUUUCCCACUUUGAAAAGACAAGUCAUGAUGGUAUUUCAAAAGGCCAAAAACACCAUGAUGAUCAUAAAUACGAUGAUUCAUACAAUGCUAAUUUCAUUAUUAUGUGUUUUCUCAGUGGGUUUGACUCCAGAUCCUAGGUCUACUUUGCCGCCCAGCACGACAGUGAGUCCUACAGAAGUUUCAACUGUUACUUGUACCUUUACCCCAGACACCACAGUGACACCAACUACCAGUUUGACCUCCCCUUUGACUCCUAGCAGGGCAGUGAAUCCUUCAUCAGGACUCUUAGUCAUCUUUAUCUAGUUAGCAAAUAUAAUUAAAACAAAUAGAGUAGCUUUAUCUUCUCCAUGUUUUUUUUUCCCACAUCACAAAUUUGCCUCAUUACAAAAAGAGGUUGAUAUUUGAUUGAUUAAAAUCAACCCAUUUAGAUGUAUUUUUGUAUAAUCAGAUCCAAUGAUGUGCUUU